CUGGGGGCCAUGCCAGGCAGAAACUCACUGUUUCUAAGGAUUGGAGUCAAAGGGGAGGGGGACGAUGCCAGCCCGUAUUUGGUAUUACACGAGUCCCAUAUUUGGAUCGAGUUGAGUAUGGCUGGACAAGUUAUCCAUAUUCCAGGUCUAUGUUCCUUGGGGACCCACAUCGUAAACUGCGGGACAUCAACCCCCACCAUCAUAGACUCAAUUUCCACCCACCUUCUCCUAUC